AUUGAACGCUGGCGGCAGGCCUAACACAUGCAAGUCGAGCGGAUGACGGGAGCUUGCUCCUUGAUUCAGCGGCGGACGGGUGAGUAAUGCCUAGGAAUCUGCCUGGUAGUGGGGGACAACGUUUCGAAAGGAACGCUAAUACCGCAUACGUCCUACGGGAGAAAGCAGGGGACCUUCGGGCCUUGCGCUAUCACAUGCGCCUAGGUCGGAUUAGCUAGUUGGUGGGGUAAUGGCUCACCAAGGCGACGAUCCGUAACUGGUCUGAGAGGAUGAUCAGUCACACUGGAACUGAGACACGGUCCAGACUCCUACGGGAGGCAGCAGUGGGGAAUAUUGGACAAUGGGCGAAAGCCUGAUCCAGCCAUUCCGCGUGUGUGAAGAAGGUCUUCGGAUUGUAAAGCACUUUAAGUUGGGAGGAAGGGCAGUAAGUUAAUACCUUGCUGUUUUGACGUUACCGACAGAAUAAGCACCGGCUAACUCUGUGCCAGCCGCCGCCGUAA
rnacentral:rRNA from 1 species